CGUGUAGGCGGGCCGCCACGUCGGCUGCUGAAAUCCCCCGGCUCAACCGGGGAACUGGCACCGAUACGAGCGGUCUGGAGGGGGUAGGGGGUCUGGAACUUCCGGUGGAGCGGUGAAAUGCGUUGAGAUCGGAAGGAACGCCCGUGGCGAAAGCGAGGCCCUGGACCCUUUCUGACGCUGAGACGCGAAAGCCAGGGGAGCGAACGGGAUUAGAUACCCCGGUAGUCCUGGCCGUAAACGAUGGGCACUGGAUAAGGGGCUCGCCGAUGGGCUCCCUGCCGUAGGGAAACCGUGAAGUGCCCCGCCUGGGGAGUAUGGUCGCAAGGCUGAA
rnacentral:rRNA from 1 species